UACGUAGGUGGCGAGCGAUGUCCGGAUUUACUGGGUGUAAAGGGCGUGUAGGCGGGGAAACAAGUCAGAUGUGAAAUCCCGGGGCUUAACUCCGGAGCUGCAUCUGAAACUGUUUUUCUUGAGUGCUGGAGAGGAAAGUGGAAUUCCCAGUGUAGCGGUGAAAUGCGUAGAGAUUGGGAGGAACACCAGUGGCGAAGGCGGCUUUCUGGACAGUAACUGACGCUGAGGCGCGAAAGAGUGGGGAGCAAACAGG
rnacentral:rRNA from 1 species